rnacentral:rRNA from 1 species
GUUUUAUAAAGAAUUUGUUUUUGAUUUUUUAGAAUUAAUUAUAAUGAGGCAAUGUUUUAUUUGGUUGGGGCGAUUAAAAAAUUUAAUAAACUUUUUUUCUUAUUUUACAUUAAUUUAUGAAUACUUGAUCCUUAAUUUAAGAUUAUAAGAUUAAAU